GUAAUUUCUUGUCAGGGUAGAUAUACCAUUCUUUCACAUAAUAUUUUAGUUAGUUAGAACUUAGAAAUGUUCUUCCAUUGCUGGUUAUCAAAGAUUUCUCAGUGUAGUUUUCUACUUUCUAUGAUUGCUUUUCAUUUUAUUCAUGUUAUAUUUCAUUAUAGGUUUGUCCUUCAAUAACACAUUGCACCUGGAAAUAAAUAUUUCCUCAACUUGAAGAAAGCAAUAUAAGUUAGCAGUUCCA
rnacentral:misc_RNA from 1 species